GCCUGGAGAUAGAAGACGGUCUUUAGAGUUGCGUUUCUGCAUAUCUGCAGGUCUAGUGGAUCUGUCUUUAACUCUAGAGGGCAGUGUUAUCUCAUUCAAUGACAGAAUCCUAAAAGAUUAGCACUACAUGGUCAUUUCAAUCAAUCAUAUGGAUCUCAUUUGGCAUCCAAGAAAAUACCCCAUGUCAAUUCCAAUUGUUAAUAUUUAUUUAAGCUUGUUUCUAUCUCUUCUAGCAGAUUAAAUGUGUACCAGAUGUACAUCAUGAAGAUACUUCAGCACCAAAAGUCUUUCAGAGAGGCCACAACACACUUCUGCACUUCUGUCUUCUGCGCGUUUAAAAAUGUGCGGCAUUAUGCAAUCUACAAAGUCAUAACAGACGUCAAAACAUCACAUGAAUGAAGAAAGUGACAUUCACUUACAGCCAGUUGCUCGCGUUGGCGGAGAAGAGUGCUAGAAAGAGCAUAA